rnacentral:rRNA from 1 species
CUCCACGGGGGGCAGCAGUGAGGAAUCUUGCGCAAUGGGCGAAAGCCUGACGCAGCGACGCCGCGUGGAGGAUGACGGUCUUAGGAUUGUAAACUCCUGUUAAGUGGGAAGAAAAGCCUGUUUUUAAUAGAAACAGGUUAUGACGGUACCAUUAGAGAAAGCACCGGCUAACUUCGUGCCAGCAGCCGGGUAAUUC